GUCAAACAAAGUUAAACUGAAACAAAUCACAAAUGUCAGACAGGGAAUAUAAUGUUAUAAACACAAUAAACGUAAAUGUUUAUUAAUAAUGUUAUUUAUGUCUUUUGAUGAUAAUUCUAAUAGGAUUUAGGAUUGUUAAAGUGACUUGAAGGACGAGGGGUUUUGGUAAAUUCUAGAAAACUGAAUUAUUGAUUAAAUCUCUUCCUUAAGAAUUUUCUAACAAAAGCUGUGUUAUGUUAUAUAGUAAGUAUUCUGUUUAAUGUAUACCUACACCAUCCCUACUCCCUUCAGAAAGAAUAAGAAAGAAAAAUAAUAAAGACAAAUCAAU